rnacentral:lncRNA from 1 species
GAGAUACAAACUGACCUUAUAAAAGAAAAAAGUUACAAUUUGACCUGAACGUUUAUUUGGCUGACAAACCACUCAGUUCAUAGAAUCUGUCAAUCUGGUGACUCACUGCCCACUAUCAGUAAACACCUUUACUUUACUAUUUCUCACUCUGGUGCUGCUGCUGAGCUAUUCUCCUUUUCAGAGUUUGUAUGCUUGAAAUUAUAGGUGUCAACCGGGCCGGG